rnacentral:lncRNA from 1 species
AUGGAUGAGCCUCUGUUCAAAUCCAUCCUUGCAGCCUUGGCUCGUUCUAGAGGUGAUCCAGACGUCUUUGCACUGAAUCAUGGAGCCUUUGGACAGACAGUGCCGCAUAAUCAUAAAGCAGGAGUUGAUCCCUGUGAGGUUUGGUGCAGUCAGCCUGUGGAAAAAUUAAAGGAAUAUUGCAACGUGAGCAAAAUCAGGUUGUUUUGGUCUGUGCUCUUCACCAGGCGAAGCAUUUCCUUUCUAGAUGAAUUUCGUUCAAUGGUCCUGGGUUGGAACAUGGAGGCAAUCCAUGAGUGUGAUAUUUUGGAAGACCUUGCUGAUUUAAUAAAAAAAGUUGUUAACAUCCCACAUUUUAUCAAUGGCAUCCUGAGGAUCGCCACUAGACUAGAAAAUGUGAGUUUCUGGAGUUGUUUGGAAGAUUCCCUGGAGCUCCUCAGGGGAAAUCUUCUGAUCCAUCUUUUUAUUUACAAAAUCCAGUUUCUGGUAGAGCUGAACUCAUUGUAUUUUCCAGCUUGA